rnacentral:rRNA from 1 species
GACGAACGCUGGCGGCGUGCUUAACACAUGCAAGUCGAACGGAAAGGCUCUUCUUUUGUGGGGUGCUCGAGUGGCUAACGGGUGAGUAACUCGUGAUUAAUUUGCCCUUGCCUAUGGGAUCAUUUCAUGAAACUGGGUCUAAUACCGGGUAGGAGCUCCUGUUUCAUGGAGGGGGUUGGAGCGUUUGGGUGGUUGGGUAUAGACUCGCGGCUUAUCCGCUUGUUGGUGGGGUAGUUGCUUACCAAGGCUUUGCCGGGUAGCUGGCCUGAGAGGGUGGCCGGCCAAACUGGAACGGAAAUACGGCCCGGACUCGAAUGGGAGGCAGGGGAGGAGAAUGUAACACAAGGGGAGGAAGCCUGACGUAACAAAGCCGUGUGCGGGAUGAGAGCCUGCGGGUUGGAAAGCGCUGUCGCCUGUGACGAAGCGUGAGUGACGGUAAUGGGUAAAGAAGCACCGGCUAACUACGUG